GCAGGAUGUAGCUCAUGGAGAGCGCCGGGGUGACCCGGAGGCAUCGGUUCGAUUCCGGUUUCUUGUACCA
rnacentral:tRNA from 1 species